GGCUGUGCUGGACGGGUCUCGGGUUCAGAAAGCUGGGAGCGCGCUUUGCGGAGAAGGGGAUCUCUCCCCAAGGCCUCUUCCUCGACUAGGCGAGGAUGGUCUCUGGCUGUCCCUCUGUCCGGCCAGCAGCAGCACCCAGAAGGAGCGUCGUGUUGGCCGGGCUCGCCGAGGGUGAUGCGCAGCGACAGCUAAACCGGGGAUAGGGUUUCAGCGGCGACUCUAUAUAUAAAGCAGCCGGGGGCCCUGAUGUCAGCGCGCUAAUUAAAUUCCGCCGGGCCGGGCGGCUUCUCUGCGGGGGCUUCUCGGUCGGGAGCCCCUCCGAGAGAGGCGCGCAGAGGCGGCGGGAGAGCCAUGAUGAUGGACCUUUUCGAGCCCGGCUCCUAUUUCUUCUACUUGGACGCCGGCGACCAUGGAGGCCUGCAAGCCCUGGACAUGGCCGACGAGGGAUCGCCGCUGUACCCGGGCAGCGAGGGCCCCUUGUCGCCCAGCUCGUGCCCCGACCAGCUGGCCCCGGAGGCCGGAGGGGGCGGCGGAGGCGACAGCAGCAGCGGCAGCAGCAGCAUCGGGGGUGAUGAGGAGCAGCACGUGCUGGCGCCGCCGGGCCUGCAGGCGCCCCACUGCCCGGGCCAGUGCCUCAUGUGGGCUUGCAAAACUUGCAAGCGGAAGUCGGCGCCCACCGACCGGCGCAAGGCGGCCACGCUGCGCGAGAGGAGGCGCCUGAAGAAGAUCAACGAGGCCUUCGAGGCGCUCAAGAGGCGCACGGUGGCCAACCCCAACCAGCGCCUGCCCAAGGUGGAGAUCCUGCGCAGCGCCAUCAGCUACAUCGAGAGGCUCCAGGACCUCCUGCACCGCCUCGACCAGCAGGACAAGACCCACCAGCAGCUCCUGCUGCCCACCAAUGGGGGCGCCGUCGGAGACGCCUUCCCCGGCAGCGCCAAGCAGGGCCAUGUGCCCCCGCCCGACUUCUUGAGCCCUUGCAGCGCCAACUGGCCCAGCGGCUCGGAGCAUUCCAGGGCGCUGCCCAUCGGCACCAAGGAAGGGAAUCCCCUUGGCGACUCGUCCGCGUCGAGCAGCCUCCGUUGCCUCUCCUCUAUCGUGGAUAGCAUCUCGUCGGAAGACCGCAAAGUACCCAGCGGGGAGGAAGUCGUGGAGAAGUAGCCGGCCUGGCAGUUUCGGGAGAACUCUAGUGGCUUCAAACCCAGCAGUGUGUCAUCUGAACCCGGACCCCAGUUGGUCAUUUAUCCUUCCAGUGAGAACCAACAAGCUUCCCCACCUCACCCCGCCGCCCGACCCUCAGCUAGGAUCCAUGCUCGAAUUCCUCGAUUGCUUGGUUUAAUGAGCAUCUGUUGAAUUCAUUUCUAGCUGUUGAAACUGCUGCCUUGUUUAGAUGGGGCUGGCUGGCUGUGGAAGGAGCUGAAGUCACCGGAUUGUUUCAGAAUGCCAUGUUGUGAACCGCCCGCCUUGAGAUCCACAGAUGAACUGCGGUAUACAAAUUUAAAACAUACAUACAUACAUAGCUGCCUGGAGAGAAAGGCACCCAGCGCCUCUGGAACAAGGAACCCGGGCAGCACCAGAGAGCCUCUUGCCCCUGGCCUGAUGCUCCUGUUGCCUCCAGCAGGCCGCUAUUGAUCUCGGCCAGGCCAGGCCAAUGGCUUCUGCAGCUGGGCCGGAGCCCUCAAGCCUCUGGGGCAGAACACUUUGGCUGAAGGCGCAUGGCUGCAGAGCCGCCUGCAUUCCUGACAAAGGAGGAAGUGACGGCAACAUUUGCUACCCGCCUUUCACCAUGAGAUCCCAGGACGAGUUACAACAAUGUAAAAAUAAAAUAAAAUCCCGUAUUAAACUCAGUUAAAACGAUUGCCAUGUUAUCAAUCUUAAGACUGCCUAUCAUUCUUCUGUCACUUAUUUACAUGGUGCGAAUCUUUGCUUUAGGCUAUACAUCAAACAACCUUGUGUUUGAUAAAUGCAAAGAUUAGCAAACUCCCCCCCCCCACUGUAGCAAAAAAGUAAGUACGGGUACUGUACUGUAUUGGAAUUUCCACGGGAUGUGGAAUAGAUCCUGUGUAGCAGAAACAUUAGGGACCCAGGUGGCGCUGUGGUUAAACCACUGAGCCUAGGGCUUGCUGAUCAGAAGGUCGGCGGUUCGAAUCCCUGUGACGGGGUGAGCUCCCGUUGCUUGGUCCCAGCUUCUGCCAACCUAGCAGUUCGAAAGCACGUCAAAAUGCAAGUAGAUAAAUAGGAACCGCUACAGCGGGAAGGUAAACGGCGUUUCCAUGUGCUGCUCUGGUUUGCCAGAAGUGGCUUUGUCAUGCUGGCCACAUGACCUGGAAGCUAUACGCCGGCUCCCUCGGCCAAUAAUGCGAGAUGAGCGCGCAACCCCAGAGUCGGUCACGACUGGACCUAAUGGUCAGGGGUCCCUUUACCUUUACCUUUUAGCAGAAACAUACGCAGAAGUAUGGGAGCAGGCCAGACUCCUUGUCCUUCGGUAGUUUUGGCAACUUUUUCUGACUGGCAACGAGAGCUUAGUUCGCCCUUGACUUCCCAUUGAUUUGAAUACUGGCUGGACCUGGAAUACUGGACCUGGAAUUGAAAGCAGGUUCAAUCUCUAGCCAGCCUCUCGUGAGCCCUGCGUAAAAAUCUUCACAGCUCUGUAGAGGCCUCUGAAAAUGUCGGAGAGGGAAAGGGUCAACUUCUUGCCGGCUCUCUGAGCCUCUCUCCCCUCCACGUGCAGCCUUUCACUCACUCAGUCGGUUCCCGGUUCCCACAAGUGCCUCCUUGGGGGGUGGGGAGGCUCCUUUGCUUCCCCACUCCCUGCUUCUCUGGUUCCUCUCUCCGGCUGGACGUUUGCAAAUUUGUUUGGAGAUCGACUUACAAAAAGGGAGCCGGCUCCUCCGAGAGAUACCAAAUGCCCAUUUGCUGGAGUGACGACACACAGAGACCAGCGCUCCUUUUAGCAGGAGAAAGCAGCCGAGGACUUUCCCAAAAGCUCUGGACAAAGGAGACGAGAGCUGAUGUGCUGUAAACGCAAAUAUCCCUUCAAUAAUAAUCACAACGAAGGCUGGAGGAAUCGCUUCUUACUCAAGAGAAAGAAAGAAGCAUUUGGCUGCGUACACACCAUAAAUUUAAAGCACAUAGCUUCCAGGAAAGAAUCCUGCGGAACCUGUAGUUUGUUAAGUGUGUUUUAAGCUUUGUGAGGGGUAAACUACAGUUUCUAUGGUUUGGGGGGCGGUCUGUGUGCUUCAAACGCGCUUUGCUCAUCAGGUGCAGACACUGGCUCGAUUUUGUUUCUCUGUGAGGGUGCAUCUAAACUCCAAAUAAACUCUGAAAAAGACUCGAUUUCUCUCCUCCCGGGGAAAAUACCGAGUUCCCCUUAUAAAAUCUGAAGAAACCUUUUAUUGCCAUAUAUUUCGACAGCAUUCCUGUAAAGGCACUUUCCCCUCUGCACUUUCAGACGUUCAGAAACUCCCUGAUAGAAGCAUGAUUGGCUGUCAAGUGAUGAUUUGGGGCUUCAGGGCUGUUGACUUGAAAAUGUGCACAUUCGCCAUAAGCGAGCUUUUUAAACAGCACAUUGGCGGUGAAUAUGCAAAAGCUACUAAGCGCUUUCUGAGCAACGCCUGGCGAAUGUGCACAAUAUAACUGGCUGGCGUCUCUGCACAUUCUCUAUUCAGCCCACAAUAAUCAGCUCUCUGUGAGCUGAUGGUGUACCCUUCAUCCAGGCUAGUUCUCGCCUUCUUAACGAUUUCUUUUCGACUGCACCAGCCAUGCUUCCCAUCCCUUUGCGCAUCUGCUCAAAUAUUUUAUGCCCCCUGAGGUCACGAAGCAACAAGGCGAGCGACGCGCAGCGCUUCUGGUCCUCCUGAUAGCAAUCAAACUGUAUUAUUAGCCCCGCUGAGAGGCCCUCUCAGCCACCGAGCUGAUUUGCAGAGAAAGCGCCCUGGAAAAGGCGGCUGGCGCUUGCAACAAGUUUAUUUGUGUUCUUCGGAAGAAAAAUCGGUAAACGGGUUAAUUUUCGCCCCUGGGGAAUCCGCGAGCUCAAAACCUCCAUCGGAGCCAGUCCUCGAGUUACAGCUCACCAGAUACCUCUUUCUUUGCUUGGUGGGCGAUUCCUCCCUGAAACCAGAGGAACGGAUCCGCCGGUUGUUUUAUCCAGAAGUUCAUUUUCUACCAGCGUGUCCCCCUUCGCAAACUGCUUAGAGCAGCCUUCGCCAACCUGGUGCUCGCGACAACUCCCCACCAGCCCUAGCCAACGCUAUGGUGGCUGGGAAGUUAUUAGGGGAGAGAUGACUCAAAACAUUGACCUGUAUUUCAAGUGGGGAAUAUAUUCAAAGCGUGUGUGAGAGACAGACACGCCUGUUCCUUAUAAUAGGCAGAAAUCGCCUUCGCUAAAAUGAAAGCUUUAUAUCAUGUACUGUAUUAGCAUAUUUAAAACAUAUAUAUUAUAUAUCAAGGAAAGGUGAAUUUAUAUAGAUAGAUAGAUGAUAGAUAGAUAUUUUGAAGGCACCUCUGUUACCUUUCGCUUUUAUUUAUUGUAAAGUGGUCCAUCAUCAAUUAUUAUUGAUGAUCGAUCCACCCCAGUGAAGAUGGACGAGAUCUCCAAUUCUCAGUAAAAUUUCCAGAUGGGGGGGGCGUGGGUUAAGUGUAGACAUAGCCCUAAUCACUGCUCUCCUUUGAGAAGCGAAGAAGGGACUCAGCAAUUCAUCUGUUAAUUCUUCAUACAAGACAGUUUACUUUGGGUCUGUAUUAAUAGCUGCCAAGUUAUCCCUUUUUUAAGGGAUUUUCCCUUAUGCUGAAUAGGCUUCCUCGCGAGAAAAAGGAAAACUUGGCAGCUAUGGUCUGUAUUUGUGUACGCCCCUUCGAAUACCUUUUGACUUACUUAUUACUACUUCUCUUUCGAUGCGUUUCAACACUGAAAAAUAAAGUGUUUUUUAUUUUUAAAAAGUAACAAAUACGUUACAAAAUGAACCCAAGACCCGUACAAAAUCAGGAUUAGUCCACUGAAGUCAAUGGUUUAACUUCCUUUUCGAAUUCGUUCGCCUACACUACGUAAUUGAUUGGAAACAUUUUCAACAGCUGGAGGGCCGCAUUCCUUUCAAGGCAAUGUUCCGGGGGCCACAUUCCAGUGGCGGGCGGGUCCAGAAGCAAAUGUGGGCGGAGCAACGAAUUUUGCCUUCCUAGACUGACUUCUUCCCCCACCCUUCUCGCAUCCAGGCCAGCAAGAAGCCUUGCCAGAAGGCAAGAACUUUCUCUGCAUCUGGACUCAGGAACACGGAUAGAAACUGCCCUCUCCCUUCCUAUGCGCACGUUUAAUACCGAUCUCUUUACAUAGGAAAAGUAGCGCUGAAAAAGUGCAGGAUGCGAACUGGGGAAAGCAAGCAGUUAGGAAAGAAGCCGAAGGAAACCAGCUGUUUGCCUAGGAAGCCUCCCCUUUCACAUCUGGGCCAUUGAAAAGUUUGUUGGGGCCUUGGCGAAGGCCUUUUCCUACCUAGCCCACCUUGAGGCUCCCCGUCCCUCCCCCUGCCCUGCUGCACUUCUUAAUUGCUGGGACCUCGGGGAGGCUGUUCCCACCGCCUCGUGUCAAGCUACUCAGGGUCUGUGAGACUCGAAACUUUACACUGAGAGAAGGCGGGGCGGGCGGUGGCAGCUGGAACGCAUCUGUAACGGUGCAGAGGCAGGAUUGGAACCGCCUCCCUCCGGCGCAGCCUCUGGCAAAAUGAAACUGCAGCAAGGGGGGGGGGGGGAAAUAAGAGAGCGAGGAGGAAAGGCGGCAGGGCAAGAGAUGCUUGGGCUAAAGCAGUGGCUCCCGGUGACUCUGCAGAAGCAGGGGCUUGGGCGGGAAAAAAACAAGUCAAGAUUUUAACACCCCAUGCGCCCCACUCCACAAAUCCUUAUCUCUCCCUGCUGUAAUAAUAAUAAUAAUAAUAAUAAUAAUAAUAAUAAUAAUAAUAAUAAUAAUAAUACUCUGUCCAUUUGGGCGGCUCCCAAUAGAAUAUUAAAAACAGGAUAAAAGAUCAAACAUUAAAAACUUCCCUAAACAGGGCUGCUUUCAGAUGUCUUCUAAAAGUCACAUAGUUGUUUAUUUCCUUAACAUUUGAUGGGAGGGCGUUCCUCAGGACUGUUAAAGUCAAGGGGCUUGAAAUGUUGACUCUUUGCUUGCCCAAUGAUCUUAAGAAUGUGUCAACCUUUGAGGGGGUGGGGUGGAAGGAGACUUAUGUGAAAUUUUUUCUCCUCCUGCCCAUCAGAAAAUUCCCAAUUGCUGGUAGAACAUUAGGUAUCAUUCUCGAAGCCCAACGCAUUGGAAAGCCAGGAGUCCUGAAAGUUUUGAUCAGUCAUUAGAAAGGAGUGUGUGUGUGUGUUCUGGUAUUAUUACUAUUACUGUCCAUAGGUAGCUCAUGAGACUCUUAAUCUCAGGGUUGUGGAUUCGAGCACCACGUUGGGCGAAAGAUUCUUGCAUUGCAGGGGGUUGGACUAG